rnacentral:lncRNA from 1 species
GCCAGAGACAAUUUCCUUAACUAAGAUUAUGAUUUCAAGGGCCCAUAAACACUUAGGGAAAUCUGAAAUGAUGACAAGUGAUCAUUUCCUCAAGAAAACCUCCGUAGCUCAACAAUUCUCAUUAUAAACAUGGAAACAGUAGUGAUGUGAACGCGUGUCGCUGGGUGUGCUGUCUAGGGUUGGGCUCUGCGUUCAUUUACUAAGGCUACCGCAACAACGUCCCCCACACUGGACGGCUGCCAACAGCAGAAAUUUGUUCUCUCGCAGUUCUGAAGGCUACAAGUUAGAAAUCAAGAUGUUGGCAGGGUCAUGCGCUCUCCGAAACCUCUAGAGGAGGGGCCUUCCUUGUCUCUUCCCGCUUCCGGUAACCCCAGGCGUUCCUUGGUGUAAACUCUGUCUCCUGUCUUCGCAUGGCCGUCUCCCCUCACAUUGGAUUAACAGCCACUCUAAUGACCUCAUCUUAACCUGAUUACAUUUGCAAAACUAUUUCCAAAUAAGGCCACAUUCACAGGUGACGGAGGACCACCAAUGUGCUGAUUGCUGACCACCCCCUGAGAGGAACAUUUCAUGAAGUCCAUUUGCAGGGCCAUACUUGUCUCUGUGUCCUCGUUCUCUGACGUGAUGGACAACAAGGCAGAAUUGAAAAAUGGCCAUAUUUUAAGCCAAAGACAUUGGUAAUACAUUGAUGAAUAGGCAUCAAGAGGAUGUGGUGUUGCUGGUGAGAGUGUAAAAUAGCAGAGCUGCUGUGGAAAACAGUAUGGUAGCUUCCCAAAAAUUAAACAUAGAAUUACUGUGUGAUCCAGCAAUGCCACUUCUGGGCAUACACCCAAAAGAAGUGAAAGCAGGACUCAAACAGAUAUGUGCAUGCCCAUGUUCAUAGCAGCGUUAUUCACAACAGCCAAAGGUAGAAACAACCCAAAUGUCCAUUGAUGAAUGAAUAGACAAAAUGUGGAAGACACAUCAAAUUGAAUAUUAUUCAGCCUUAAAAAGGAAGGAAAUUCUGAUACAUGAGACAACAUAGAUGGACGUUGAAGACAUUAUGCAUUAUUUAAAAAAAGGAUAUGCUAGCUCCCCUGUGAUGAAAGAAACUGAAUGUGCCAGUGGCGGUGGCAGCCCCUCUGCUCGUGGCAGGUCCUUUGCUGUAGUGAAGCGUGGCCUCAUCAGACAAUCAGGCGAUCCCAGUCGAUUAGCCCUGAGCUAACUACUACCAAUCCUCCUCUUUUUGCUGAGGAAGACUGGCCCUGAGCUCACAUCCAUGCCCAUCUUCCUCUACUUUAUACCUGGGACGCCUACCACAGCUUGGCUUUUACCAAGCGGUGCCAUGUCCACACCUGGGAUCUGAACCAGUGAACCCUGGGCCACUGAGAAGCUGAAUGUGCGAACUUAACUGCUGCGCCACCGGGCCAGCCCUAAAAUUUUGCAUCUUAUAGACACUAUUUUCUCCUUCAUCAGAGCCCCUUAUAGGGGUGGGAGUGAGGCUGGGAAGGGGGCCUUGACCUCUCCCCCUAAAGGUUAGAGGGUCUGACCCAACACAAAGCAACAUGCAUUUGGACUUAGUUUUCAUUUCAACAAAGAGGUGAUGAUUUUCCAGAGUGACACAUAAUCGUUAGCCUCCUAGUUGGAUUGGAAAAUGGAUCUCUCUUUGCAGCUUCUCUGCUCAAACCACUUCAUCACACUGUUGUCUUCGGGUAAUUUCAAUUAGAGCAUAGACUGUCCAGCAGAGUAUCACGUCCCCAGUAAUGCGGUGGCUGGAAAAAGGACAGGGAGAGGUGAAGGAACCAUGGGAACCGUAUUCUGUUUCCUAGAAUACCCAAUUUGCAUGUCUGUGGGAAGUGAGACUGGCUUUCGACUCAGCGUCCGUCUAAUGUGUCCUGACCUUCUCGGAUACAGAGUUCUGUGAUAGUGGGAGUAAGCUGGGUGUAGAAAAAU